UACAGAGGGUGCGAGCGUUAAUCGGAAUUACUGGGCGUAAAGCGUGCGUAGACGGUUAUUUAAGUCGGGUGCGAAAGCCCCGGGCUCAACCUGGGAAUUGCAUUCGAGACUGAAUAGCUAGGGUACGGUAGAGGGAAGUGGAAUUUCCGGUGUAGCGGUGAAAUGCGUAGAUAUCGGAAGGAACACCAGUGGCGAAAGCGGCUUCCUGGUCCAGCAUCGACGUUCAGGCACGAAAGCGUGGGGAGCAAACAGG
rnacentral:rRNA from 1 species